CUCAUAAGUCUUUCUAAAAUUGGCUGACCAAAAGUGGCAAUUAAUUUUCCUUUGUUCUUUAUAGUUUCCUUAAUGAGUUUCCCUGAAAGGAAGCACUCUAAAUCUUGUAGGGUCCCGUAGCUGUAAUUACCACUGUUGUAACUAACUUGGGUACAAAUGAAAUAACAGAUUGUGAUUCAUCAAAAUAAGUCCUUUUGAAAGCCCCAUGUCUUCUACUCAGAAAAACUCAGUUCCCACACAGAUGACAUAACAACAGUAGAGAUGCAUUUUGAAUCCCAUGACUCUGAAUAUUAAUGUGGAAAGGUGAUUUUUUUCAUAUGUAUCUGAAUUAGAUAUGUUUUAGAAAUUAAAAGAAUUACAGAGGUGCAAGACUAAAAAGAAUACUGUGGUUUUUACAGUGUUUAGGAGUUCCAGUAUCAUCAUAUAAUUAGUAGUCAGCUUUUAGAUGAAGUGUGACCUCAGGCCAUGUCAUAUUCUUCUGUUGAUGCUUCUGUGAAAUAUGUUGCUGUCCUGCUUGUCUGGAUCAACAAUUAUAAAUUGGGAGGAAAACAAACAAACAAAAAAGAAUAAUCUCUGUAUCUCUGAAGCACAUAGGAGUUUUUCCCUAGCAGUUUUCCUUAUGGCUGUAUCAGGGCAGACAUAAGCCAGGAGAUGAAGUUAUUGAAGAUUGUCUACCUCACCCAGCCUUUUCAGCCUCACCUCAGUAAAGAUGAGUAUUUCCAAACCAUGAAUGUUUUCCCAGUAUUGUGCAGAUUUACAGACUGUUCAGACAGCUGAGCCACACAGAUCAGCUUUUCACAGGCAAGGACUUAACCCAUGGAUCCUUUGAGAAGGAAGAUACACGGUUCUUUUAAAAUAUAAGGAGGAUGUGUAUUCCUUUUAGUAGAAUAUAACUUUCUAGGGUAGUAGAAACAUCUAAAAUAACAAUCAAUAGUAUGGAGCAUGCUUUCUCAAUUUAAUGUCUCUGGAUAAGUAGGUUUGAUAAGUAGGUAUGAUAUGAGUAUAGACAUGUGUAUUUUUCAGGAAAGAGGUUUUAUAAACUUGAUUAAAUUCUCAAAGGAGUCCACAACUCUUUUAUUGAUAUAGAGAAUUGAAUUUAAGCUUCACUAUUAUAUACUUUUCAUGAAUUUUUUUAAAGAUGGAAACAUACCUCCUGUGACCACUGCCUAUCAAAUUUGUCUGUAUUUGGACUUCAGAACUCUUGAGGAAAAUAAUUUUGUGAAUUUCUGUAAUUAUAGUUAGUUACAAGCUGAGAGUGAUAGCAUAGGCUGAGAAGCCAGUGAUGUGUUGAAAGACUGAAUAUAUAAAGCAGUAAGGGCCAAAGCAUAUAUGACAAUGGAACUCUGACCCAUCUGAGAAGCAAAGGAAGUCAAAUACAACCUUUGCAGCAAAAUCAGUCCAUAACAGUCAGCACUUAUCAAUGACCACAUAUUUCUCUAUUUUUUGCCCCUACCCCCUCCCCCUCUUCCAGUCAGAGAAAGCCAAAUAUGUUCCCCAAGUCAAUCAAAUAUGGUCUGCACUUUUUAGUUAGCCUACCUUUUUCCCCACUACAAAGCUUUCUCAUUUUCUUGGCUGCUUUUUACUUUCUGCCAUACAUAAGUGAUAGUAACUUAACUCUUUUGCUAUAGCAAGCUCUGGAGAAAUAUUCACUGCUUGUUUUCAUUUAUAUCCACUGUGCAUUGAAUUUUGAGAGAUUCUAGUAAAACUUCCUUAUCCUGGAAUUUGUUGCAGAAAAUCAUAGUGCUGGAAAUAAACCACUGGAGACAUGUUUCCUAGAGUUAAGC
ensembl:lncRNA